rnacentral:rRNA from 1 species
GAUGAACGCUGGCGGCGUGCUUAACACAUGCAAGUCGAACGGUGAACACGGAGCUUGCUCUGUGGGAUCAGUGGCGAACGGGUGAGUAACACGUGAGCAACCUGCCCCUGACUCUGGGAUAAGCGCUGGAAACGGCGUCUAAUACUGGAUAUGUGACGUGACCGCAUGGUCUGCGUUUGGAAGGAUUUUUCGGUUGGGGAUGGGCUCGCGGCCUAUCAGCUUGUUGGUGAGGUAAUGGCUCACCAAGGCGUCGACGGGUAGCCGGCCUGAGAGGGUGACCGGCCACACUGGGACUGAGACACGGCCCAGACUCCUACGGGAGGCAGCAGUGGGGAAUAUUGCACAAUGGGCGCAAGCCUGAUGCAGCAACGCCGCGUGAGGGAUGACGGCCUUCGGGUUGUAAACCUCUUUUAGCAGGGAAGAAGCGAAAGUGACGGUACCUGCAGAAAAAGCGCCGGCUAACUACGUG